rnacentral:rRNA from 1 species
GACGAACGCUGGCGGCGUGCCUAAUACAUGCAAGUCGAGCGAACAGAAAAGGAGCUUGCUCCUUUGACGUUAGCGGCGGACGGGUGAGUAACACGUGGGCAACCUACCCUAUAGUUUGGGAUAACUCCGGGAAACCGGGGCUAAUACCGAAUAAUGUCUUUUGCUUCAUGGUGAGAGACUGAAAGACGGUUUCGGCUGUCGCUAUUGGAGGGGCCCGCGGCGCAUUAGCUAGUUGGUGAGGUAACGGCUCACCAAGGCGACGAUGCGUAGCCGACCUGAGAGGGUGAUCGGCCACACUGGGACUGAGACACGGCCCAGACUCCUACGGGAGGCAGCAGUAGGGAAUCUUCCACAAUGGGCGAAAGCCUGAUGGAGCAACGCCGCGUGAGUGAAGAAGGUUUUCGGAUCGUAAAACUCUGUUGUAAGGGAAGAACAAGUACAGUAGUAACUGGCUGUACCUUGACGGUACCUUAUUAGAAAGCCACGGCUAACUACGUGCCAGCAGCCGCGGUAA